CAAGCAGCAACUAGAAAGCACUUCAGUUGGUUCAGUUUAAUCCUGUGCUGAUACAAUGCUGCCAGAGCAAAGUCGGACCAAGAACAUUUCAGUUUAUUUUAGCUCGUAGACUGAACUACACGUGGUCUUACAUUA